rnacentral:rRNA from 1 species
UACGGGAGGCAGCAGUGAGGAAUCUUCCACAAUGGGCGAAAGCCUGAUGGAGCAAUGCCACGUGAAUGAUAUGACAGUCUUUUGAUUGUAAAAUUCUUUUAUUUAAGAAAAAAUGCACCGGUAGGAAAUGACCAGUGUUUGAUUGUACUAAAUGAAUAAGCACCAGCUAACUAUGUGC